GACGAACGCUGGCGGCGUGCUUAACACAUGCAAGUCGAACGGAAAGGCCCUGCUUUUGUGGGGUGCUCGAGUGGCGAACGGGUGAGUAACACGUGAGUAACCUGCCCUUGACUUUGGGAUAACUUCAGGAAACUGGGGCUAUACCCGAUAGGAGCUCCUGGUGCCUGGUGGGGGUUGGAAAGGUUCGGCGGUUGGGGAUGGACUCGCGGCUUAUCAGCUUGUUGGUGGGGGAGUGGCUUACCAAGGCUUUGACGGGUAGCCGGCCUGAGAGGGUGACCGGCCACAUUGGGACUGAGAUACGGCCCAGACUCCUACGGGAGGCAGCAGUGGGGAAUAUUGCACAAUGGGCGGAAGCCUGAUGCAGCAACGCCGCGUGCGGGAUGACGGCCUUCGGGUUGUAAACCGCUUUCGCCUGUGACGAAGCGUGAGUGACGGUAAUGGGUAAAGAAGCACCGGCUAACUACGUG
rnacentral:rRNA from 1 species